AACGAACGCUGGCGGCAUGCCUAACACAUGCAAGUCGAACGAGGCCUUCGGGUCUAGUGGCGCAAGGGUGCGUAACGCGUGAGAACCUGCCCUUAGGUUCGGAAUAACUUCCCGAAAGGGGUGCUAAUACCGGAUAAUGUCUUCGGACCAAAGAUUUAUCGCCUCUGGAUGGGCCCGCGUUGGAUUAGCUAGUUGGUAGGGUAAAAGCCUACCAAGGCGACGAUCCAUAGCUGGUCUGAGAGGAUGAUCAGCCACACUGGGACUGAGACACGGCCCAGACUCCUACGGGAAGCAGCAGUGGGGAAUAUUGGACAAUGGGCGAAAGCCUGAUCCAGCAAUGCCGCGUGAGUGAUGAAGGCCUUAGGGUUGUAAAGCUCUUUUACCCGGGAUGAUAAUGACAGUACCGGGAGAAUAAGCUCCGGCUAACUCCGUG
rnacentral:rRNA from 1 species